rnacentral:rRNA from 1 species
AACGAACGCUGGCGGCAUGCCUAACACAUGCAAGUCGAACGAGACCUUCGGGUCUAUUGGCGCACGGGUGCGUAACGCGUGGGAACCUGCCCUUAGGUUCGGAAUAACUCCCCGAAAGGGGUGCUAAUACCGGAUAAUGUCUUCGGACCAAAGAUUUAUCGCCUUUGGAUGGGCCCGCGUUGGAUUAGCUAGUUGGUAGGGUAAAAGCCUACCAAGGCGACGAUCCAUAGCUGGUCUGAGAGGAUGAUCAGCCACACUGGGACUGAGACACGGCCCAGACUCCUACGGGAGGCAGCAGUGGGGAAUAUUGGACAAGGGGCGAAAGCCUGAUCAAGCAAUGCCGCGUGAGUGAUGAAGGGCUUAGGGUUGUAAAGCUCUUUUACCCGGGAUGAUAAUGACAGUACCGGGAGAAUAAGCACCGGCUAACUCCGUG